CUUGUUUUUAAUGGACAGGAAUGUGGGACUGGAGCUGGAAUUCAUUCUGCCCCCUUCUGUUCUUCUCACAGGCACUUCUUCACUGCACUGAGGCAUCCCGAGAGCUUCUGCUGCUGAAGAUGAUACAGUCAGACAGGUUCCUCACAGCUGGAUCCUGUUCAGGUAGGGGUGGUUACACAGACUAGCUUGGUUUAAUUGUAUUUUGAUGUUUGUAAUAUCCCCGCCAUAAAUAAUGUAACUAUUCCAUUCUUGAGUCAAAAAUGUGUCACUUCUGAGCCAGCCCAGUCAUGUGGAGACUACAGAUGACAAAGAUUAACUUCUUUCAUCUUCCUGCUCUUUAUUUUCAGGUCGAUAUGGUCUGCUCUGAAUGACCCAAACAGAAUUGACUUUUCACUAAAAAAUAAAUCACAGAGCUGGUGUAUGGCCACAAGAACUUUGUUGCAGACUGGAUUCAAGAAGAUCUUUGGGUCUUCUAGCAACAAUUCUUCUGCUUCUGUCCUUGAAGGAUUUUCAAAACUGCAGCUACAUGAUUACCAUGGAAUCACCUCUUUUGUAGAUGACUUUCUGCACUGUGGAACCUGUUCUCUUCUCCAUACACAAAGUAAGGA
rnacentral:lncRNA from 1 species